GCUGGGAUGGCACAGUUGGUAGCGCAAUUGAUUCGUAAUCAAUAGGUCGCCGGUUCGAAUCCGGCUCUCAGCUCCA
rnacentral:tRNA from 1 species